UACAGGGGAUGCAAGUGUUAUCCGGAAUUAUUGGGCGUAAAGCGUCUGUAGGUUGAUUUAUAAGUCUUUUGUUAAAUAUUUAAGCUUAACUUAAAAAUAGCAAAGGAAACUAUUUAUCUAGAGUUUGGUAGAGGUAAAGGGAAUUUCCAGUGAAAUGGUGAAAUAUUUAGAUAUUGGAAAGAACACCAAGGGCGAAGGCAUUUUACUGGGCCAUAACUGACACUGAGAGACGAAAGCUAGGGGAGCAAACGGGAUUAGAUACCCCCGUAGU
rnacentral:rRNA from 1 species